GACGAACGCUGGCGGCGUGCCUAAUACAUGCAAGUUGAGCGAUGAAGAUUGGUGCUUGCACCAAUUUGAAGAGCAGCGAACGGGUGAGUAACGCGUGGGGAAUCUGCCUUUGAGCGGGGGACAACAUUUGGAAACGAGUGCUAAUACCGCAUAAUAACUUUAAACAUAAGUUUUAAGUUUGAAAGAUGCAAUUGCAUCACUCAAAGAUGAUCCCGCGUUGUAUUAGCUAGUUGGUGAGGUAAAGGCUCACCAAGGCGAUGAUACAUAGCCGACCUGAGAGGGGGAUCGGCCCCCAUGGGACUGAGACACGGCCCAAACUCCUACGGGAGGCAGCAGUAGGGAAUCUUCGGCAAUGGACGAAAGUCUGACCGAGCAACGCCGCGUGAGUGAAGAAGGUUUUCGGAUCGUAAAACUCUGUUAGUAGAGAAGAACGUUGGUGAGAGUGGAAAGCUCAUCAAGUGACGGUAACUACCCAGAAAGGGACGGCUAACUACGUG
rnacentral:rRNA from 1 species